GGUGGCUCAGUGGUAGAGCACUUGCCUUGCAUGCAUGAGGCCCUGGGUUGGAUUCCUUAGCACCA
rfam:Dipodomys ordii contig_84859, whole genome shotgun sequence.